rnacentral:misc_RNA from 1 species
AAGUCGUAACAAGGUUUCCGUAGGUGAACCUGCGGAAGGAUCAUUACCAAAUCCAAAUUCAACCACUUGUGAACUUGUCUUGUAUUGUCUUUUGGGAGGUUUCGUCAGGUGAUUUCAUUAUUGCCUGCUCUCAAACAUACAAUUUAUUUUGUGUGAUUGAGAGCCUCCCAUUAGGCGCGUGUGUGUUGCUGCUGCAAGGCGCCAACACCCACAAAAAACAUAAACCACAAUUUAAAAUUUCCCAUUUGGUUUUUUUAUUCAAAAAAAACAAAUGACAACUUUUAACGGUGGAUCUCUUGGCUCAU